ACUCAAGGCUGUGGCCCCGCAGCAGAGGAAGCAGUGGUGGUGGCGUCGGCGGCGGCGGCGGCGGCAGCCGGAGCGAGCAGUAGCCGAGCUGUAAUGUCUUACAAUAACAGAAUGCAGGAGAGCACAUAUCAAUGAAGAAAAGACAAAAUGUACUUAUCCAUGAAGCUGAGGUUAAGAAACCAGUGUCUUCAAGAGCCAGGGACAGCACUGGGUCUGUGCAGAGUUGAGAGAUGGUGAUGACAUGUGGUUUCCAGCAUUCCUCACCCAGUCCAGGGACACUGUGGGUGUGCCCAGCUUAAGUCCAGUAACUGGAAAUACAAGCCCAAGUUCUGGAGAGUUUGAGCUGCAGAGAUAUAUAUGGGAACACUUUGAAUCUUGACUCAUUGGCCAUAACCAGCAGAGUGGAAAAUACAAGAAGAGAAAAAAACAUUGAACUGCGAUUUUAUAACAUCCUUUACUAGGCAGAGAGAAGAGGAAACACCAGGAAAGAAAACUGUAUUACGAUGUGAAAACUUAAUGUUGAGAAAUUCAGGCAUCUUGGGGUUAGUGAGGAGAAGUUUUAGGGGCUUAGAUUCUUCUAAACACAUGUACAGAAAUGCAUAUUUCAUCUGAUAUCAAAUGGCAUUUAUAGUGCUAAUCUUUACCUCAAGACUUCACAUCUUUUGGUGAUUGCAUCUUUUAGGUUUAUAGCAGCUAAGUUUGCAUGAAAACACCAGGGCUGUUUCAUUUCAGUCAAGAAUUAAUGUUCAUUGAUUGUGCUUCUGCAUUUCAUGUAACUAUUGUAGAAUUUGUUUUAGUUUUAUGAGGGAAUAAUUGUUCCAACUUCUAUAUAACUCAGGAAUUUACUCUCAAACAACACUGUCAAUUAGUUACUUAUCUCUCUGGAAAUGAUCUGGGAACAUGGAGAGGAAAGGGAGGAAGGGGCAAAAUCUGACCACUUAAAUCUAAGCAUAUUAGAUCAUUUUAUGCUAGAAAGUCCUGAAUGAUGUGACUUUCGUUCUUGUAAAACACCUCUUUCCAUAGAUUCAUGGCCCAAACAGUAUAUAAAGAGUGGGGAAGGAACUGCAUUUGCAAAUAGUUCAAAUCAUUGCUCCAUCUUAACUACGCAGUUCACAAAGUGUGAAGAAAUGUGAUCAUCUCAAAAAAGAUAAUGGGGAAAAAAUAUGUUUUGUUCUGUGACUUUAAAGUCUUGCAAUAUUUUACAUAAAUGAUAAUGGGUGCUUUAAUAAGAACUCUUGAUACUUUUGUUAUUGUAUUCAAUAUAUGCAUAUAAUACAACAGGAUGAUAUUGUUUUGGAUUUGGAAAUGUAUUCUUUCUUAUGCAAUCUUAUGCAGUCAUACUGCUUGAAUAUCAUUACCUGAAUUUAUCUUUCUUUUUUUUGUUGUUGUUUUACACUCUACUUAUUUGGUGCCUGUCAGUCUUUUGUCGUCAGUUUAUAUUCUACUAAACUCAAAAAGACAAUCUCAUACCUUUUGUAAUUGUAGGCAUUCUUUACUAGAUUUUUAAAUACACUUCAAAAAUUCAAGUACUUUGAUUUCAUGCCAUCAAGUAGCUGAAUCUAUCCCCCCGUCUCUUUUUAAAUUUAAGUGAGUAGUUCAAUUUCUGUCACUUUCUACUUUGUGAAUUCUAAAUCUUUUAAAACCAUCUUGCCAUUUUUCGUGCACUUACCCUUACAGAAAACUCUGUGAAACACUACUUAUCUCUACUUUUAUGUUUUUAACUCCUUUUUUAUAUUACUAUUCCCUCUGCUUUCUAAAUGCACAUAUUAAUUUGUUCUUUUUAUUCUCUGUAGCUCUUCUCAGUGUAUGAAUUCAGUUUCCCAUCAGUCUCCAUACAAUUAAAAAAAAGUUGAGUAUUCUGUUAUUUUAAUAAGAUAUCUAGUGCCCAUAUUCUAAUUCUGCCCCUUAUUUUUAAUAUAAUUUUAUUGUUGAUUUAAAAUGACAACAGUUUCAAUUCCCAGAAAGUGAAAGGAAACAAAGGAAUAAUAUUAUAGGCUUAAUUUUUAUCAGUGAACUUGUAGGUGAAGAAAAGAUUUGGGGAAGGAAAUGAACAUAUUAUAUUGCAAAAUAGUAAGGAACAAUCAGAUGUGUUUUCUAGUCUCUGGAAAAGCAUGUUUCAAGAAAUUCAAUGAAAAGUUCAUCAUGCUUGCUUAGAUUGUUGAGAAGCAAAAACACUGAUGAACAUUUGGAAGCAAUGAGAAUGUAAUUCUAAUCAUACUCUUUUAAUAAUGUUGCAAAACUCUCCAAACACUACUCUGUGUGGAUGUCUUUCAGAAUAUGAUGAAUACUAGUAGUCUUAUUCUGCCCUUUUCUCUCUAUCACAAUAUAUACAUUCUAUAUUGCAUACACAUAUUUUCCAAAUAUUACAUAUAAUUUCAUGUAAUUUAUAGACCUAUUAAGGCCCAACCAUUUUCUUGGAUAGGGGAUUCUUUAGAAGUCCAGCUUAAAUAAAGCCCGUAUAGAAAGUUUUUUUAAAAUUUAUACAUAAUCACCUAAAGUAACCUUAUCUACUGAACUCUUAGUACAUGCUACUGGAACCUUUUAUCAUGUUUCUUCCUGGCUUGCAUUACAACACUGUUGACAUAUCUCAGCCUUACUUCUAGGCUUCUUUGAGAGCAUGACUCAUGUUUGUAUUCCUCACUGAGGUUGAAUGAAUAAGAGAAACUACAGUAGUAGGAAAAAACAGUACAUGUACAUAUCAAUGAAUAUGAAAGGGUCAAAUGGAUCUAUUAUAGUAAGCACAAAAUCAACUGACACCAGCAAAGUAAACCCAAAAUUUUUAAUGGUAUUUUAAUAGAUCAAGAGGAGCAAGCAGAUUUUUGAGACAGUUGUCUCCUACUUUCUCUAUCACAGGGAGUAAUUUUAAAAGAAAAAUGGAGGGUAAGUUUCUUUAAGAGAAAAUUGUAGUUUAAAACAGGUCAUGGGAUAAUUAGAAAUAAUUUAAUUUCUUUAGAGGAUUUUAAUCUUUCAACUGCUUGCAAUUAGAUCCUAAGGCAAUAAAAGAAUAAGGAGAUUUGGAAAACCAUUGUCUGUAAUCUCUGAAGAAAAGUGGACAUUAGGGGAGUCAGUUGAAAAGCAAAGCUAUCACCAUUUUCUAAAGAGGAAAAAGGUGAACCUCACAAACUAUAGACCAAAAAAAUAGGACAUCGAGAGAAAGAAUAUGAAGCUAGCAUAGGUUCACAAAGAAUGAGUCAAAUCAAACAACAUGCAUUUUUUAUUUAUAAAGCAUGACUUGUUCAUUGUCAAUUCAUGUUAGCUUAAUCAUUAGGCAUUAAUGCCAUCACUGCAAUGCAUAUGUCAGCAAUAAAUAAUCAAAGACCAGGCUUCCAUCAUUCUGUUUAAUAUCUUCAAGUAAUGCUUAAGUUUGCAAAUGCUCUUUUAACACAUUCUCCAUAUGCAGCCUGCCCAGCACUGCACACAAUAGACCUGUUACUUCCCCCUCACGAGCACUCCUAAUAUUUCAUGUGCUCAUCCAAUUGACUUCUCCCACUGGUGCCUCAUAUUGAAUUUGUAGAAUCACACCUGCUCCUUUUUCAAAACUCUUCUGAGUUUUUUCUUAAAUAAUUCACUGACCCCAAAGUUGUCAGAUAUUUGAAGACUACUCGCACAAUUUUAAUAUUAUAAAUGUAUAAUGUAAAUGUAAUUAAGAUUUGUAUAAUGUACGAUGUACUUUGGUAAAUAAAAGUAUGCUGUGAAUAAAUACGUAUGAUACAAUUCAAAAUUUUACAUAAAUAUGUGAUAAAAUUUAGCUCAUAUUCUUUUUUUUUUUCUUUGAGACGGAGUCUCACUCUGUUGCACCCAGGCUAGAGUGCAGCAGCAUGAUCUCAGCUCACUGCAACCUCUACCUCCUGGGUUCAAACAAUUCUCCUGCCUCAGCCUCCUGAGUAGCUGGGAUUACAGGUGCCCGCCACCAUGCCCAGCUAAUUUUUUUCUAUUUUUGUUGUUGUUGUUGUUUUUAGUAGAGACGGGGUUUCACCAUGUUGGUCAGGCUGGUCUUGAACUCCUGACCUCAGAUAAUCCACCUGCCUCGGCCUCCCAAAGUUCUGGGAUUACAGACGUGAACCACGGUGCCCGGCCUAGUUCAUGUUCUUUAAGGACAAUUAUGAAUAUUUUUAUGCACUGUUAAUUUUCAUUAAGAUAUUGAUCAAUUAAUAGCUAUAUAUGUUCUAUAAAUUAAUCCUAUCUAGUUUCAAUCUUAAAUUGUUUGCAUAUACCAAUCUAGUUUAUUGUUUGCAUAUAUUUUAUAGUGUAGAGAUUAGGCAUUUUAAUAAAAUUUUAAAAUUUCCAGGACAUACUGUUAAUGACUAUGCUUCCUACUAUAGGCCAUAAUUAAUUUUUUUCUAUUGUCAACAAUAUUUUGGUAGGGAUGAUCAGGAAAUAAGGAAAUGUUUCCUUCAUUUGUUAACAAUAGGUGUUUGGGGAUUUUAAAAUGAAAAUUGAAGAAGUAAAAGACACCAUAUAUUUAGUUUGUUUGAUUUCGUGGCUUCAAGAGUUCAAUAAUUUAUUGAAAUAUUUUACAGACCAAAGAACAACAGAUAUAUUACGUUUAUAAGCCCCCACAUAUUUUAAAGGAUAAUGGUUUAUAUAUGAAAAUUCCCUGAACCUACACUUCAUCAGGAAAAGCUAAAUAAAAGAAGUUUACA
ensembl:lncRNA MAGI2-AS3 MAGI2 antisense RNA 3